GGGCUCGACGGCGAGGUAGUCCGCAGAGAAUUCUCAUUGGAUGAUUCCCUCGCUCCCCUGUCCAUCACUCCCAUCUCCCCCUUUCCUCUUGUGCGACUGGGAGGCCGACAGCGGCGGCGGGGACAGAGCAUACAAUGAUUCUGCGCCGGCGAGCAAUCCCAAAUCACCAAGCCAGAUUUACUAUGUCCUCGACAGCCGGGUAAGGCACAGGUUCUCCACUUUUCUCACGCUCCCUCCCUUUUCAUCUCUCUGUUUCCCGUCUGUCCCCUGCUCACCCUGCUAGAUCUGAAUGAUUGCCUUGCAGGGAUGAAGGUCAUGCUCGCGGCUCGCCGCGUAUGUCCAGAAGCAAUGCCACGUCCGCCCACAAUUCCAUCCAGGCUCGCUAAUCUGCAUCCAUGUUUCUUUUCUGAUCUCUUCCCAAUCUGACCUGUUCACAUAAUUUUAUACGACCAUAUUUUAGAUAGGCUUUUGAUGAGUGCACCAUGUAUCCAUGGUUGCAAAAUGAUUCCUGAGAUUUCCUUGGUAAAAUUUCUGGAAUAUUUUAGUUGUACAUAAAUUGGUUGUGCCAUCAUAACCAUUUGUUUAUUCGCUAGUAUAAAAAUACCAAAGUGAAUUCUCUAUACAUACAUACAAGAAGCACCUCUUUAAUUAGUAAUUUGCUGGUAGAAUCAUCGAUCUGUUAUUACUUGACAUAAGAAAGCUAUUACAAAUGCUAUAGGCAAUUGCGUGGAAAUUGAUCUCAGAAAUUGUUGUCGAGAUAGGUAAUCAAAUACUUGAGAACAAUUGCUCUUUAAGAUUUCCUGAGUUUUACUCUGGGUGCUCAAGUGAAGCAAUUACUUCUCACUGAAGGGUCUGUUUCUUUACUAGACUGGUCAUGUUGUUUCUAUUUUCUCUUUUAUUCAGAUAUACCUCGGAUUUCUAGAUAAGAAAGAGGUAUGCUGAACAAGAUUCAAGUCGUGCUAAGACAUCAACAAUCUAUGCCGACAAGCCUCCACUAUCUAUUGCAGAAAUGAAGAACUGAUGGCUGGUGAUGUUCAGAAUAAUAAGGGAAGUGCCUUAAACCUGAAUAUCAAAUGAAAAGUUGAGCUGCACGUUGGGGUAUCCGUUCAAGUGGUUGAUGGCUAAUGUAUGAUGGAUAAAGAGUAGCGUCUUGGUAUUUAUGGUUGUGAGAAGAAAAGUGGACCUCAAUGCUACCGUACAAUUAAUAGGAUACUAUGUUGCUUCCAGCCCGUGGAUAAGAAUGUUUUAGUCGCUGGGGUCCUAGAGAGAUUGGUGAACAGAUGAAGCUGAUGGGAGAUCUCUGGUCACCUGCAAGUUAAGCUAAUUUAAGAUCAAGUUCGACAGUUACUUAGUUUCAAGUUCAGCAGUACCGCAGUAGUUAGUAUUCAAGUUCAGCAGCAAUUUUGUAAUAGUGAUUUCUGAAAUUUUCAUGCUACUGGUUAGUUACUGCUAAGUGGCAUUCAAUUGUAUCAGGACGAAUUUUAUUUGUAAUCUCAAGGCUGGAAUUUGUUUUAGUGAGAUAUUUCCUGAAACCACUACAUGGAAUAUAUU